AAAAAGAAAAGAAAAGAAAAGAAAGGAAAGGAAAGGAAAGGAAAGGAAAGGAAAGGAAAGGAAAAGGAAAAGGAAAAGGAAAGAGAAAGUUGGGGCCUUUAUGAAAAGGUGUUAAGAAAAAUGAAAAAUAACUACGUACAACUGCAAUAUGAAACCCAAGAUUAGUAUUAAAUAUAUUUUGCUCAGGGUUGCACACUGAAUUAAUUGCUAUUGUGGAUAAAUAUCAGAGUUUCUGGUUUUUUCAUUACAAGGUGAAGUUACUAGAUGGGGACACAGUCCACCCUGACCAGUCAUAAACUAUAAACUGAAAAAUCAAACAGGCAUUUCCAAACAUUUCUGAACAGGACCUUCCUUGAUAUACAGAUGACUGACUCUUAAAUACAUAUAAAAUGAAGAAAGUGGGACUGUCAUACUGUUAUGUGGAAAUUCUACUGGCAAAAAAUUGAGUAAUAAUAUUUUGCUAUCUGUAUUAUGACUAAAACAUUUAUUUCUUUUCGUAUGCACACAAAGAUUUCAGAAAAUCUCUUUGAAGAAAGGAAAAAUAGAGGGUUACAACAGUUUUCAAACUUAGCUUCUGAUUUAUAACUUUCUCAAUUAGAGUUAAGGAAAACAAUAUACAAUUUUCAAUUGUAACUUUGUUUCCUUUGUCCAAAUUAGGACCAAGUUUGGAAACACUUGACUUAUUAAAGUUAUGGUUAUCUACUUACUUAUGAAAUGUGUACGAAUAUUUCCAACUACAGGUGACCCUUGAAUAACACAGGGGUUGGGGUGCAGUCAAAAACCUGCAUAUGAGUUUUCAUCCCCCAAAACUUAAUUACUAAUAGCCUACUGUUGACCGGAAGCCUUACCGGUAACAUAAACAGUCGAUUCGUACAUAUUUUGUGCAGUAGAAUAAGCCAGGGCAAAAAAAAUGACAUUGAGAAAAACAGAAGGAAUAGGAAAUACACUUACAGUACUAUACAGUAUCCAAAAAUAAUCCAUGUGUAAGUAAAGUAGACGCGCACAGUUCGAAACCAUGUUGGUCAAGGGUCAACUGUAUAUUACAACUGUUCCUGUCUAGAAUGUUCUUAUUUAGAUCUUUCUUAUACAAGGUAGCCUCUCCCUGAAUGCCCCAAACGGGCUCCAAAAUAGUGUACUGAACAUAAUCAACACUGGUGAUAAGGAUUCCAAUGUCUUUACAAAUGUAGGUGUGAGGACAAAUGUUUUGGCUGACAUGUUUCCCAAUAUUUUCAGAGACUGUUUUCCCUAAUACCUUUUUUUAAUUGAGGUAUAGUUGACAGACAAUGUUACACGAAUUUCAGGAUACAAAUUCAGAUUGGACAAUUGUAGACACUAUGCUAUGCUCACUACCGUACGUGUAGUUACUCUCUGUCACCAUACAACAUUAAUACAAUAUUACUGAUGAUAUU